rnacentral:rRNA from 1 species
GGCCAGACUCCUACGGGAGGCAGCAGUGAGGAAUAUUGGUCAAUGGGCGCGAGCCUGAACCAGCCAAGUAGCGUGAAGGAUGACUGCCCUACGGGUUGUAAACUUCUUUUAUAAAGGAAUAAAGUGAGGCACGUGUGCCUUUUUGUAUGUACUUUAUGAAUAAGGAUCGGCUAACUCCGUGCCAGCAGCCGCGGUAAUACGGAGGAUGCGAGCGUUAUCCGGAUUUAUUGGGUUUAAAGGGUGCGUAGGCGGACAGUCAAGUCAGCGGUAAAAAUGCGGUGCUCAACGCCGUACAGCCGUUGAAACUGGCGGCCUCGAGUGGGCGAGAAGUAUGCGGAAUGCGUGGUGUAGCGGUGAAAUGCAUAGAUAUCACGCAGAACUCCGAUUGCGAAGGCAGCAUACCGGCGCCCGACUGACGCUGAGGCACGAAAGCGUGGGUAUCGAACAGGAUUAGAUACCCCUGUAC